UCCCCCCCACUUGGAUCUUUGCUUAUAAAGGAGGGUAGCGGAACGUGCUGGGCCAUUGCAUGCUUUAAGAACACCACCUCCACCUCCCGCAAGGAUUCUGUGGUCACUUGCUCUUGCUUGCGCACGUAGGUCUUCUGGUUUGCAUGGCCCUCGCCAAUGGUCGGAUCCCACAAGGCUGGUCGUCGUCCCAUGCAUUAAUCCAUGGGGGAUGGGCAGCUUCUCCCCAGCUUUCUCUGAACGAGCUAUUUGAAGGAGAUCCUAUCUACUCAUUUAGUAGCAGUCACGCGUUGGGCGUGGCGAAUCCUUGUUCUUUGGAAGAAGCGCGGUCCGUCGUCGACUUCAGGGGAAUCCCCGGCGGCUGGUGCGGCUCCAACUCCUCGUUGCUGGACUUCGAGCAAGGUGACGGCGUGACGUGUACCGGAAUCGCUGACUCAUGGCUGGCUGACGGCCGAAUCUACUCGGAUAUGAUGAGUGCCUACGGUUCUUUAGGCAGCCCUGUGAGAGAGGUUGAAAUCCAAAAGAGAAGUCGGUCGAUGCCAAUAACGCAGGAAGGUGAUGUGCCAAGUCCGAAGAAGCGAUGCGGUAACGCUCGAACGAUCAAGGAGAAGUCGAGUCCAUCCAAGGAUCCCCAGACUCUUGCAGCAAAGGUGUGCACAGCUAACUUUAGAUCUCUUGAGACCCCCAAUUAAAAUCCUCUUCUUCUUCUGACAGAUCCUUCGUUGUUGCAGAACCGGAGGGAGCGCAUAAGCGAGCGCCUUAAAACUCUCCAAGAUCUUGUGCCCAAUGGAGCAAAGGCAUGCAUUUUAUCAAACAGCUUAGCCACAUUUGAUUCUGCCGAUCAUAUCCUAAUCGUGUUGACCGAUAUGUUGUAGGUUGACAUGGUUACCAUGCUUGAGAAGGCCAUCAACUAUGUGAAGUUCCUUCAGUUGCAAGUGAAGGUAAUCCACUUUACUUCAAAUUGGAGCUUUUUCUCGGUCAUAGUGAUGGAUGACAAGUGUUCUGAUGGCUGUGCAGGUUUUGGCAACCGAUGAGUUCUGGCCUGCACAAGGAGGGAAAGCACCUGAUACUGCUCAAGUGAAGGAGGCAAUCGAUGCCAUCUUAUCUUCUCACAGAGACAGGGACUGUAGCUCGAACCAGUAAACUCCAUGUAAUGUUAGCUGAAACAGAACUGCAAACAUCCUUAGUCUGGAGUUAUGAACAUCUGAAAGAGUACAGUGAAUACUACCUCUGUCAUUUUUGGUUUCAAUUUGUCCUUGGUAUUUUGAGACUAGAUAAUUACCAGCAUCAGUUCCCAAGUCCCAACAUGCCACAAAUUAAACAACACAUGACAAAGGGCUUGCAUAGUGUCCUUUUUGUUCUUUCCCAAAGAUAUCAGCACCAGAGUCAACUGCUUGGGGGAAGAAACACCACCUCUACAGCAAGCAUUUCAUACAUUACUACUGAACUUACCUUGAUAAACUCUACCAUGAGUGGUCCAACCGCAAUCAGUUCUGCAGGGUACAAAUGUUAGCCUUCAGCCUGAAGGCUAACAUUUAUCUCACAGAAGGAAGCAAGAGGUGAAUGCCAACUAUCUUUGAGAACUUAUAAUGAAUCUGGAACAGCAAUAUGUUGUUCCAACUCAAGGGAGCAUACAAUACAGAGCAGCAUUUUGUGUGUUGAACUCUGAGUGAUGUUCUCUGGAGACAGUUUAGUGGUUGGUCCAUUUCUUUCUCUUGAAGAUAUUCAUUGGCAUGAGCUGAAGAAAUUUAGAAACAUCAACCUGAAGCAAUGAAAAAGAUCCACUUGGGAAAAGAUGUUUCAUAUUGAUACCGACCCUAUGAUAAUAUCAUGAUGUCUAAAUUCUCACUAUAUAGACGAACAUGUAGCUUCCUGAUCUGUUUACUUUGUGAAGUUAAAUUUGGGAUAAUAAGCAGUUAAAUCCAACAACUGAUAUGAAUUCAAUUUAUCUAACAACUGCAAGUAGGAUGCAUGAGCAUAAUAGAGUGAUUUGAACCAGGAUGGAAAGAUAAUUGAACCUCUUCAGCAACCCUAGCAUAAUCAAACUUGACUCCAGAAACUACCACUUCUUGCCUCAAGCACAUCACAUCAUGUCUUCAAUUAUUUGGGUAUGAGAAGCAUCAACAUUCACAUGAAGGAACAUGAUUUGCUGCUUUUCAUGUGAAAUAAGAACAAAAUAACAACUCAAUGAUACCUAAUUGUGACAAAAUGAUAAUUUACAUACAAAAAGAAAAACACUAGUUCGGUACACUUUCAGGAACAUCCCAACUUAGCUGUGAAAUGGUUCAAUGACAAAAGCAAUGCUAUUUAGGAGAAAUGGUUCAAUGUAAGAUGUGAAAGACCAAGGAAUCUAACUGAAAGCUGCUUCGGAUAUGGUGAAAAGAGAAUUACUUAGAUGCAAUAUUUUUUAGUGAAUCUGUUCAUUUUGUGGGUUUUUUUUGGUUAUGUUAGGAGGAACUCUACGCAAAUAAUAUAAUUAAUACUUGACCCUCACUUUUAUGUCAAUCAGUAUUAAGUCAAACGACACCAGAUCAGCCUCCUAAAUCUGCUGAUAAUUUUGCUAUUCUAAACUCAGUCAAUAUUUGUCAUCAUAUAGAAAUCUACUUCAGUGUACCCUAAUCGUUUUCCUAUGUAUGUUUGUAGUGGUAGGAAAGAAAACGUAAACCAAACUUCAAAUGUCUCGAAAGAAUUAAGGACUCAAGUCCAAUAUGGAUUCAGAAAUAUGGCUAUACAGAAAGAAAGUGUAUACACAAUGGCAAGGCCCAUACAUGACCUGUUUACAUGUCGGUCUGACAGCACCAAUUGUACUGGCUGUACUCAGAACUCGAAUCAUGGCGGCCAAAUACCAAUUGCUGAAAAAUCCUGACAUCUGCUGAAUGAGCUACAUGGAACACUUUGCUUUGUCCCGGAAUGACACCAUUGCUAAGAUCAAUGUCAGCAAGGUAAUCAAGAACUCUGACCACCUGAAGCAAGAAUGAUUUAACAAGUGUUGUGAUAUAUUCCUUCUAAAUGUUGGUUUAGUGUGUUUGAUUAUAACCUUUCCCAUUUGAGGCCUCAUUGCUGCCGAAUGACGGGUACAUGCUGCUGCUGCUUCAAUCAUUCGGAACAUUUCAGCUUCAUUAUAGUUCUUUUCAAGUCUAGGGUCAGGUAAUUCCCCAAAUUCUCCAGUUUCGAGUGCACGGGAAAGCAAUGGUCGUGCCUGCAAUUUCAUUAGCAGUUCACCAAGCAGAUAACUAUAUUUUGGAACCAAGAUAAAAGAAAAGAUAUCUUAGAGAAUCACGUAACAAAGUCUAUGUAAUCCACAGUAGCAAUGACAACAAUGCUCCGGGGAAUUCUGCUUGCCAGCAGAAUUCUUUUUUCUGGCACUAGAGAUUCAGGGCAGGCAUUUGUGCAAGUCUUUGCUGUACUAGUAAUUAUAGUCAAUCAGAUUCAAACUAAUUUUGCAUAAUAUAAUACUAACAAAUAAUUAAAUAAUGCUAUCAAGGUCCAUUUUUAGUUUCAAAGUGGAGGGAUCCCUCUUGGCUGAUGUAGAUCUUAACAAUUAAAUAACAGAUCUCAAGCAUAUAACAUGUUGUCAGACAUCCUCUUCUAUGAGCAUCAUCGCAUGAAGGAUACAUACACUAUAAUUGACUAAUCUCUACCAAGUCAAAGCCCAGAGAUUCAAACCUUUGAAAGUUUAUAUUACAUAAAGUUUAAUAUAGUUAUUACUCAACAUUAACUAAUCCCUGAGGUGUCAAAGUUUGUAAGCAUGGAGCAACUGCUUAAUCUACAGGUUGAAGACUACAAAGUUGGAACCUUUGCCUGCUGGCAACAUUUAAAAAUUUGCACUUGAAAUUCAAAUAAGAUAAACAGGAUGCAAAUUUCAGGAAACUUUUUGGUGGGACUAAGGACAAAAAGAUGCCUUAAAUUUUGAAUCAGAAGCUUCUAGUAUACAGGGGAAUCAGGUUAAGCACCUAUACCAUGAAAUAUUUAUAAUGAAAGCAAAAACUAUGAAACAGGUACCCAAAGAAAAAGGGUAUCCCAGUGUGGAUCACAGGCAAGACUUUAGUGAAUAAAGUGAUCUUUAGGACCUUAACAUCUGAAAGAAUGUCAUGGCAUGUUUUGUGAAAUAUGGCACUUGCCCUCUUCGGACCUACAUAGGCAGAAACCUCAUGCAUUAGCCACUCUUUAGUUUAUUGUAUACUUCAAUAUGAUCCAGUAAAUGUGAGAAAAACUAGGACUCUGGCUGCCUAUAUAUCAGAUUUCUAAUGAAUGUUGACAAUCUACAUAAGCUCAGAAACCAAAGUCGUGCAAUAAGUGUAUGAUUACUUCAACUAGCACAUACAUAUCAGAUUUCUAAUGAAUGUUGACAAUUAAUCUGUCACAAGAUAUAUAUGUUUAAGCUAUUUCAAUAACAUGAUGACACACGAAAAAAAAGAUUGGACAUGGAAAGUUUGAAGACUUACCCACUCAACAAGGCUUUCAUCACCCAUAGGCCUUGUACUGUCAACAGGCUUUCGUCCAGUAAUAAGUUCCAAAAGCACUACCCCAAAAGAGAAAACAUCAGAUUUUUCAGUCAACCUGCCACUUGAUGCAUACUCUGGAUCCAAAUAUCUGAGGUACAAAAUGAUGUCAGGCUGUUUAUGGCAAAAGAUGAAAGAACCGCAAGAUACCAAUUAAUUCCAAAAGCUUUAUGGUCAAAGGUUUGCAGCAAUGACAUGAUUCACCUACCCAAACGUCCCUAUUACACGAGUAGAAACAUGUGUACAAGCAUCCACAGCUAACCUUGCAAGCCCAAAAUCAGAAACCUAGUGCAUAAUAACAAGUUAGCAGUGACACUACUAACAAUUAUAAUAGAAGGAUCGAGACCUUUUUUACUCCAAACAAGAUGUCUUAUAAUGAGGAUAACCUGAGCUUCAAAAUUAUUGCCCAACAAGAUGUUGGAAGACUUUAUAUCUCUAUGAAUUAUCCGGGGAUGACCUGGUUAGAAUCACAACAACAAACAUUAAAUAAUAUAUAGUUGACAAGUUAAAUAGAUAUAAAUAUGUUGCUGGUAAGUAUCAAUAUAUAUUAUUACAAUCCUCAUGCAGGUAUGCGAUGCCAUGAGCUGCACCAGCAGCAACCUUUACCCUGGUGGCCCAAUCCAUUACUGGCUUUCUUUUCCCUGAAAAUGCAGAUUUAGUAUCAAAAUGAAUGUAUAACAUAUUUAGAUUGAUUCUUUUUAUUAUAAACAAUGAUAGUACUUUGAAUAGACAAGCGUCGGCUGUACCAUGAAGAUGAGAUUCAAGUGUUCCAUUAGGCACAUAAUCAUAUACAAGCAAUCUCUGGUUGUCUGAUAUGCAGUACCCAACAAGAGAAACCAAAUGGCGAUGGUGCACACGACUGAUGAUCUCAACUUCAGCUUUAUACUCAUGCUCCCCCUGUCCACUUCCAACUUUUAAUUGCUUCACAGCAACUUCUCUUCCAUCAGCUAAGCAUCCUUUGAAAACAGAACCAAACCCACCCUCACCUAGUAUAUUUUGAGGUGCAAAGCCAUUGGUUAUAUCGUAUAGCUCUUUGUACAAAAACCAUGGUGUUGUACUAGAUAUUGCUGUUUCAGGUGGUGAGUUGAUCGUCUCAAUGCUACCAGACUUGUGAAGAUGUACACAAGGAGCUGAUGGGGACAUUGGAAGUGGUGAAUCUGUUAAGCAAAAUUAAGUAAGGUCAUGAAAAUUGACAAAAUGUCAUCAGCGUUCCUUGGUGGUUUAUUCAUGAAAUUUUAGCAACUUCCAAAGGUAUAAAUUUCAUAAACCCCAAAAACAAAGAAUAUAUUUUAAGGCAAUUAGUAAAGUUUUCAAACUCCAAAACCAACAUGACAAUUGGAGUUAAAACAAACAAUAAGAUGAUCAGAAUAUAAAAUCUUAAGAGGCUCUAAGCAUUACCCGACAUUAUUGAAGAUGUAAAUGAUGAAGGCCUGACAAACCCUGCAUUACAUCCAGCAACCGAAUUCUUGCGCUUCCUCAGAAAGCACACAGCCAGUCCUGCUAUGCUAAGUACCACGAGAGCCACCACCAAUCCAAUAGCCACAGCAGGUCCAGUCUUCAGACCACCAUCUCCCUGUCCCGCAUCUGAACCAGGAACCGAUGGUGUGUUGGGACCUCGUUUACUUGGACUAGGUAUACUGCCUGGAGGAGUAAUGGAAGAGGUUAAGGGCGGAGGACGAUCAGGUAGCUUAGGAGUCGUACCGCCAGAAAAGUUAGGGGGAGGAGAUUCAGCAGGUGAUGAUGCAUGUUUAGAUGGUGUCACCGAAGGCGGGCCUACCGACGCUGAUGGAGGUGGUGAUGAAGGAGAACUGUUAGGUGGUUUAGCUGAUGGUGAUAUUGGAGAAGAACCUGCAGGUGGUGUCACGGAUGGUGGAGCCAGUGAUGCAGGAGGCGGGGAGCCGGAAGACGGUGGAGGAUCAGUAGGAGCAGUAGGAGGUGUUGAUGGUACUGAAGCAGGUGGAGAGGUGGCACUGGAAGCCGGUGGAGGAGACACUCUUGGUGGUUGGGGAGAAGCAGAAGGUGGUGGAGAUGACGAUGGCAGCGGCGGGGAGGGGGUAGUUACAGGAGGAGGCGAACUGGCGAUCGAUGGUGGCGGUGAUACUGAUGGUGGAGAAGUUGGUGGUGAGGAAGGAGAGAAUGGAGAUGGUGCGCUAGAAACAGGAGGAGGAGAUGGUGGUGGUGGAGUCGAAGUUGAAGAGGACGGGGGAAUCGCCGACGAAGAGGGCGGAGGGGAGGAAGACAUCUUCACCAAGAUUUAGUUCCCUCCAACGAAAUCAGCGUCGCUGUCGCUCUGCGGCUCUUAUGGCAAGCAAGUCAAAAGUUUCUUCCUUCCACAAGAUCUCAGAAUCAGCAAAAUCUCCAGAGCCAGAUCUUCCAGAUUAAAUGCGGGAAGAAACGCAUCGAGAUAUCUUGCUCCACAAACAGGACCAAAAACAGCGAAAAAGAUCGAUCAGAUCAUCGAAACACCAGAAAUCCUUUCCUUUACAUAGAAAAAUGAGCGAGAAACCCUAAACUUGUACGCCCAGACUCCAAAAUUAGAUACUCGAAACGAACGAAAUCCAUAUCUACCAACUUGAAUCGGAAAAAAACGAAAGCUUCCUGGACGUCAGCAUCCCGGUGUGGUGACUUAUUACCCAAAAAUCUCAACUUUUGUUGAACAAACUCAGCAAGAUCGCACCUUUACCAAAUUUUCUCGCCGCAUGCGGCGGUACCAAACCCCCAGAAAUCUAUAGCGCUUUCCAAAAUAAGCCGAACUUUUGGCGAGUAAUGCCAACUUUCUCCUUGAACAGAACCUCCAAGAUCCCACCUUUCCCUUUGAUCCCACAGCAAGUGGCCAACCCACGAAGAACACAAGACUGCAGAAGUCGUAAAAGUGUAUUCCCCGAUCUGCCAGAUCGAUAGAUCUCACCUUCUCUUCUCUUUUCCUCCUAUGUUUCUGUUCUUGGUCUUAGAAUGGCAUACCAGAAGUGUGUGUCUGAACAUACUUCGGAGUGUCCAAGGAGCGAUUCAUCUUCCACCCACCAAGUUUGUAGCUUCCCACUGCAGAGCCUCCAAUCCUUCAUGUGUCAGGAAGCAAAAACUUGCUCGGCUUUUUCCAAAACACUUAGCUGAUGACGACCAUGAUAAAAUUCUUUCAAGAAAAGAUCUUCCUGCUCUUGGCACUAAUUACUCUGGUUGUCCCUGUUUCGAAUGUUCUCUUUCGCUCCGGUGGACUUUUCUCUCUCUCUCUCUCUCUCUCUCUCUCUCUGGAUGGACUAAAAAAUGAUCCAUGCUUUUGUUUCGUUCGUACAUUUUGCUUAUAAAAACUACACACAUUUUUUAUGUUAUAUUUGUAUACUUGCUGCACCUGACGAUGAAUUCGAGUAGAAUAUUUGUCGACCAAUCCUCGUAGUCCAUGCGCUGGUACGAAACUUAUCGUGCCGUUCUUCGCAGGGCAUUAGUACUCGUCAGCAAGUCAACGCGCACGGAAGCGAAGCUGACGCAGAAAGCGACGUGCGUUCGGAAGUGUGACGCAGCGGAAAGCGACGUGCGUUCGGAAGCCGAGCAGUCCUCACACGCAGUUUGUCUUCCAAUCACCUCGAGGCACCCAUGUUCAUCUAGAACACAAUUCAAACCUCGUUCCGUUCGGAGUGUGACGCAGCGGAAAGCGACGUGCGUUCGGAAGCCGAGCAGUCCUCACCCGAGAUCCGGAGCCAGUUUCGAUUGGAUCGAAUUUGGAAUCGACGAUAAUUAUUUGCUUUAAUUUUAAUUUUAUUUUUUUAAAUCUCUCUUCUAUAAGAUGAAUUUUUAUUUAUAUGAUUAUAUUUAUUUAUUAUAUAUUUAAGCCAUACAAAAAAUUUUAUAAGAUUACAUACAUACAUUUUUUUAAUUAAAGUAAAAAUAAAUUGUUUUUUAAAUUAAAAAAAUUUAAAAUAUUAGAAAAAAAAUAUUAUAAAAUUAUUCAGUAGACUUUUUGAAAUAUAAUUUCACGAAUAAUAUUUAUUAAAAAUAAAAAAAAUGUGCUCUCAAAUAUAAUUUAAAUUUUGAACUCAUGAUUAUUUUUGGGUUGAUAUGAUGCGACCUCUAUUUGGUGCUUUCCGGUGAGUGUAAUGUGUUCUAUCUGAUCCAUGUUGCGAUAAGUAGUGAGAGGAAAGUGUUUCGUAGAAAUCGUGCUAUGAGAAUUCUCAACCAUUCAUGUUGGCUUGUUAGCUUUGUCCGUACGCCUUUGGGACAAACCACGAUUGAUCAAUCUACUUUCACUUAUAUAAGGAUUCGAAACAUUAAUCUAUUAAAUUACAACUAUUAAACAUUGAUGUGAUUGAUAGUAGAUCGAAUUAUCAGUGCCUUCUCUUCAAUUGUAAUAUUUUUAAUAAUUAUUAUAAUAUUUUUGGUACAUUAAAAAAAAAGAAGUUUACCCGAUAAAAAAAAAAUACAAUACAACUAACUAACUAUAAAAAAUUAAAUUAUAUACCAAUAACAUUAUUUUUGAAUUAAACUAUAAUAUUUUUAUUAUAUCUAUUGAAACAUUGUAAAUGUAUAUAAAAAUAAUAUAAUUUCUUUGCAAUUAUAUAUAUAUAUAUAUAUAUAUAUAUAUAUAUAUAUAUNNNNNNNNNNNNNNNNNNNNUCCCUCUUUCGAGUCUUGGCUUGUUUCCCGUGUUAUGGCAUUCCACUACGAGGACAACGACCCCUGCCACUGCUAAUCUCUCUGUCCGUCUCUUUCUCUGCCCAUCUGGCCGGAGAUGGCGAAGGAGCGUCUACAGAUUGAUUGGAAGGAGAUGCUAGCCGGGAGGGACGACGGCCCGCCGCCGGAGGUCGAGGUGGUCGCCGCAGCGUCCGGCCACGGAGAGGCGGGGCCGGCGGAUGCAUCGGAGCUCGUCCAGUUCUCUGAUCAUGAGUUGCAGGAGCGGAUUCAACGAGUGGUGAAACAACUCUCGUUGGGCAUCGGGAGCCGGCUAAACGAUAGCGGUGCCAAGUUGAGGGCAAGCCUCCGCCAGAUGCAGGCGGAACUCGAUCGGAGGAAGCUUGUCCGUGUUCCCAAGGUACGCAAUCGGCUCCGUCGACAGAUGUGUGCGUAGAUGCAGGGAAGGGUGGGUUUGAGAGAUUUCGUGUGUGAUAAUCAGAAAGGGAGGUGAUUGAAAGAUAGGGUUCUGGCUAGGUAGUUCCUUAGAAGAUAGGGUUUCGGAUAUUACUUCUUUCGAAGGAAGAAAUUCUCAUUGGAAAACCUAAACAAGGAAGAAAAAAACUAGAGGAACGGGGAAGUGGGUAAAGAAAAAAGUGAACCCAAAUGGUAAUGGCAUGAAGUGGAGGGAUAAAUUUGCGCUUGAAAAUCUUGAUUGGAUUCAAUCGAGAAAAGAUGAAGAUUAGGGCAGCUGGAACUGAUUCUUUUUGGACGCAUUGUUCCUUUAUUCUUUAAAUAACGAUAAAACUGAUAUGAACUGGCGAACUACAGAAGUUCACUCAAGAGUUAGGUGAUAGAUCGAUAAAAUGAUGGAUGGAGGUCAUUGCAAAAGAACAGUUUGUAGUAGGGAAACAAAAUAGAGAUAUACAUAAGCUACAAUAGCAAGCUGCAGUGAGUAGGAUAUAAACUAGAAAGGGUUUCGGUUGGCAACACUAUCAGACAUCACCUAGAAGGACCAACUUUUGGUUACAGAAUUAUUCCAUAUAGUUACUUCCUGAUGAUUGACAAACUCAAUUUUGUUUUCUCUUCUACUGUAAUCUCUUUUACAGGGUUCUGGACGAUGCAGUAAGGUCCUUCAGUCAGAAAACAUAGAAUCAUCAGGUAGCACUCAAGAAUCUUUUCUACAUAACCAGAAUAUAGACCAUUCAAUGAAGAAGUGGAUUCAAUAAAGAAGUGUACUGGAACAAUUCUUUGGGCUUUUUUUUGUGUUAAACUCUCUUAUUUACUAUUAUGGUGAAUGUAUCACUAUUUGGUUGCAUCUAGACUUGCUUAUCAUUCGUGCACCAUCAGGUACAGUAAAAGAUUCCAGUGAAAAUUCUACAGCACCCAAAUCUCAUCCACAAUCUUCGUUUACAUCUAAAUUUCUGGAGAAGUUACAAGGGAAGGUAAAUGUAUGAUCUUCUCAAUUUACAUUCAUUCAUCAGUUUGCUGGUGUAGGCUUUUCCAUAUUCUUUCCUCAGGCAGAUGCUGCAUCUAAUGAGGACUUGAAAGUUAUAAGCCGAGGCAAGAGCAGAGGUUCAGAAAAAAAUGAAUUACAAAAGGAUGAGAGACAACAUCAAAUUGCAACGUCUUCACAGUCAGCUAGGCUUUCUUCCAGGCAAACACAUUUCCAGUGUGCUAGCAGCAUUGCGAAGAAAGAUCAACAUAUGUCCUUGACUAGUAAAUAUAGAGAUUUAGAACUUUCCAAUCUUCCCAAAGGAAAAUCCUAUUCAAAUUGUAAAAGGUAACUUUUAAGCUUCUAGUAUGAAUAAAAAAAAAGCUUCUAGUGGCAUUUUGAAAAUUUGUUACUUUUCUCUUUCAUAUUCUAAAGUGUUGGCCAGAAUCUAUCAGCACUUCGUUUCAGCUCAAUUUUUGUUCUAAAGUUAUAUGUAGUUUUUUUUUUACUUUUCAUAUUGUGAAUAUCUUAAAUAACCAUUGUUCAAUUUAAUUUUGACUUGUAAAAUUAAGUUAAGGCUAUUGUGAUUUAUGAGAUAUAUUUUUGAGCAAUAACUAAGUGGAUGAUCCAAUUUUGAUUUGUUACUUUUCCUUUCACUAAUUCAUGAUGAUGCUUUAUGAAUAUCGAUUUGAUAUAUGUCAAUGCUCUUAAAACAAAGGAAAAAUUAUUGCAAAUAUUAGGUUUUUAACCAAAUUUUUAAAAGGGGCAGCCUGGUGCGUGCCACUAUGAGAUGAUCAAGAGGUCUUGAACCAAACUGUUGGUUUUGGGAUGAGUAUGGAAUCUAUGGGAUCUAUGGGCAGCCUGGUGCAUGAAAUCUUUUCUUCUAUGUAUCAGCUGAAUCAUGGAUGAGUAAGAAAGAGACCAAUCAGACCUACUUCUUCCUCCGACUACUGAUAUGCAAUUUAUGAAAAUAUUAAAGAGGAGCUUACCAAAUAUUCUUGGUUGUAAUUGAUCAUGGAAGAAUAAAGUCUACUGGAUUGGGGAUAAGAACAUUCAGUCUACAAGUAUGUCAUGGGUAUUUGGGUUGAUGUUCCGUGCUGUUAUAGCUAUAUAAUUACAAAAGGAAAAAAAGAAAUCAAACCUGAAAUAGAGAGGCAGUGGUAAUAUGAUGGGAUGGCCUCCGACCUCCCUACUUCUUCGGUUCUAUCUUAUGUCCAGGACCUUCUAAGCUUUCAUUAUAAUUUAUGACGAUCUCUCCAAACAGUCACAAGCUUUUCGCCAAAUGUUGGUGCCAAAUUGCCUAGUGUAGCAAAAGAUAUUUAGGAAAUGACUUGGGAAUCCAUCUUUUUAAGAUCUUGGAUGAAGCAUAUUAAAUCACAAUUGAAUAAAUUUGAGGUAUUAAACGCAUGGAUCAUAAGUCAAGGCAAACCAUUGUAUUGUCAAAUUCAUAGUAUCCUUUUGGCAUUUCACUGCAGUGCAUUCAUUCCCUUGUGCACGUUAUUAAGGGUCAGUGUUUUGUCUGCUGAUACCAUGGUGGUCCUUGGGCAGACUGUUAUGAACCACUUGGCAUGUUAGGGUGACAGCCUGGUGUUGUCUGGUACAAGUCUAUGAUGCCUAUCAUACUGCCAAGGCUGCUCAAUAUGCCCUUGGCGUGACAGAUGACUUAGUACAGGUACUUGGACGGGCCAUCAUGGUAUGCUUGGUAUGGCAAACUUGGCACCAUGCAGAUUAGGCACCCAAUUUUACAGUGAAUGUAUUUCAACCAGCAAACUGACAUAUAGAUAUGUGAAUAUACUAAGAUAUAUGCUUGUAUGGUGUAUGGGUUUGUGUUUAAGAAGUUGAUCAAUGCUUACAAGCAGACUUGGAGGAACUAAGCGGAGCCCCCUUUUUUUUUAUCAAGGAUUUGGAACAAGGAUUCACCUGUUCUGAUCCCAAGUUUGUUGGCCUUUCAUCACCUUAGCGCGUUUAUGGAGCUUGAGAUUAAACUGUGGCAUAGUAGUUGACCAAUUUUAUGUCUAAUUGACUCAGACUACUGUAAAUGAGAAUUAGUUGAAGUGCUUGAAAAUUAUCCAGUUCUCAUUGAAGUCAGAUCAUGCUUUUUCUGAAAUGUAAACCUUAUAAUUAUUAAACAUUGCUAUGGCCUUUAUUGUUGAUGUAGAUGAUAUACAACCACUAUCCAGAUUAGGGGUGUGUGUGGCUAACCUCUUUGUAAACAUUCUUUCCACAUGAGAGAAAUUAUCUGCAUUAUUGAUAAUUGAACCACAGUUUGCAGUCUUUAUCUAUAGCCACUCUUGUAAGUACCAGUCUUUGAGCAGUUAAUAUCUUAUACUGAACAGAGGAAUGACAGCCACUUUUUCCAUGAUAAUUUUUGUUUAUAUAUUGUAUUUUGUUUUAAACAUCACUUUCCUAUUGAAACUCAACAUAUAAAUAAAGACUGAAGAUCCUUGUAAAAUAACAUCCCAUGAAUUUACAUGAAAGCAAUUAAUGAUGAAACAUUGAUUUAAAACCCUGUCGAAAGUUUUCUACCAUUAUGUACUUGGAGUUUUCCUCUAUAUCAACCCGAUUAUUUGGAUAAGGCUUAAUUAUGAUGAUGGUGAUAAGUUGAUGUAACACUUAUUUUGUUGCUUUAGGUUCUGUAGUCUAUCAAGUUGUUUAUGACAGCAUGCUUGAAUCUUGUAAUGUAUAUGCCAUUGGCAGCUAGUGUUCCAUAUGUGUUCUUUUCUUGAUAUUUUCUUUUCUUGUCCAUUAAACCUUCCUUGGAGGAGAGCUUUGGAUUCGGAGGAUACGAAUUCUGUGGCAUUUAAGUGGAAGAAGGUUAGUAUGUUUGUUCUGUUGAUAACAACCAUAUAAUGUUCUUUGUCCAAGAUUGCUUUUGCGGAUUGUCAUGCUGAAAACUUUUGUUUUGCUUGUAUAUAAAGCUUUGAGGUUUUUUUAGUAGGAUGUACAUGAGCAUAAAUAUAAAUCAAAUUCAACUAUACUUGAAGAGUCAAGCCUAGACUUAAGACUUAUCCAUAACCUGUCCUCUGCUACAAGUUCUAUGACACUAAUUCUAAAGGAAUUUUACCAAGUUGUUUUCUCGUAAUCUUUGGCUACUUUAGGAAUAUGAUUGGUCAAUAUAUAUAUGGCUUAUGCUAUCCAUUUCUCAUAAUGUAAAUAGGUUCGAGAAGUUGUUCUUUUGGAUGAAGAAGAAGUUCAUACUGUAGAGCCUAUGGAAGAUGGUUGUGACAAAUGGUGACUUUAUCUUCGAACUUUCUUUUCUCUAUAUUCGUUAAAUACCUGUGUGCCAAAUUAUGUCUUCCUAAUGAGCAUUAUUCAAUUUUUUUUAGGAAGGAGGUCAAGGUUUAUUAUCCUUCAAGGUGCAUCAUCUCCUACUUGAACAUAUGGAUUAUUUGCGUCAAUAUUAGUUCCAAAGGUCUCACAAAUUAAAUUUUGUUUUCUUUACAACAGGGAUGAUCCGGAAUCUGUUGAGCUCUCUUAUGCAGAUAUAAAAUGCCUCAAUCCUGAAUCAUACUUGUCAUCUACUAUAAUGAACUUCUACAUUCAGUAAGAUCUUUUUCAUGAUUCCUAAAGUGUUCCUCAGAAAAUCAAUCUACGCUUUUCUGUAUAUUUCACUUCUGUUUGUGUUAUCUAUUAUUUGGCAUUAAUUAAAGUUCCACUCGUUAAACUGAAUGCAGAGAUGACACAAUCAAUGAAUCUUUGAGUUAAGAACAUUCUAGGAUAAGGUCCUGCAUGUUUUUCCUCAUAUAUUUGAUAACUCCUUAGUGGCAAUACACAGUCUCUAUAGAGUAACCUCUGUGAAGAGCUUAUCCGCUCUUAUAAAGAGAACACUUGAUCUAACGAUUGCUUUGGAUAAGAUUUUUGUUAUGGAUGUUGGACACUGAUCAGUGUAGUUUAUGAAUUAUGUAUUAUACUCCAGCUGGGAAUCAUGUAUCUACCAUGUUCAGCUCAUCUUUCCAAUUAAUCACUCUUUUCUUUUCUCUUCUUGCUUGCUUUCUCCUUUUAACCUAUGUUUGAAUUUGUUUCUUAAUAGCAUUCAUCUUUUUAAUGUUUCCACACUUUGGUCCUACAGCAAUAGGGAAGCUAAAUAUGAAUUUUAUCAUUUUUUAGCAGGAGUCUAAUUGUCUUUGUUGCUUCUUUGUGGCAGAUGAUUCUCUUUGGUUUUUUCAUAGUUGGAUUUUGUGAUAGCAUUCUACCUUGGUCGAUACUUGGGCAUAACAUUUUUUAUUAAAGCAUAUUGAUUUAUUGGUUGUCUCAAGCAAGGAUUAUCAUAUCAUGGCAUGGGGGUGCAUUGAUGCUUUUAUAGCAAGGUACAAUUCAAUGUCAUGCCAGCUGGCAUGCUCCAUUGCCGAUUGUUAUGGACCAAAAAUUGACGUAAGUGUAUUCUAGUGCCGAUGUUGGGUCUUGUUUUAUGCCAAAGUGUGCUAACCGACCCUUGACACACUUGCGUGUGUACCACACGGAUUUGCAUGUACCGGUUCGCAAGACUUGUGGGAUCAAGACACCAGAUAUUCCGUCCUUGUUUCUGCUUCACUCUGCAUUCACUUAACAAUUUUAAUGCAUCGAACUUUUGUUUUACUUCAUCUAUGCUACAUGCUUAUAUCACAUUCACAUCUUGUUUGUACAUGUUGAUUGUUGUUUUAGAUACCUGCAAAGGCCCUUGGCUGUUACUGAUAGACCAAGAGGAGACUAUCAUUUUUUCAACACCUAUUUCUACAAGAAACUUGAGGAAGCUGUUUCAUUUAAGGUAUCAUUUUUUAAAUGGUUAAAUGAUUAUUUUUAUACUCUGGUAUUGUCAAAGUUAAGUUCAAUGGCAGUUAAAACUUGAAAGUAGCACGCCUGCCAAGCAUUAGCAAAGAUAUAUUGUGAUACCUAUAGGAAAGUUAUGUAAAGGUCUAUUGCUCUAGGAAUGAUCAAAUUUACUCGAGUAUUAUUUCUUUGGUCAAAUACAACUUCUCCUAGAGUAGGCUCUUGUAAUGCUUGACAACAUGUUCUGUAGUUGUGCAAAUCUUCUUCUUUUGAUAAAUACUUGCUUGUCAUAUAUUGCCAAAACACCAUGGUUUUCUUUGGCACGCAUUUCUUCUUCAUUUUAUGUUAUAUUAGUUCUGUUUAUUUCUAUUGCUGAAAUUUGCAUGCAUCUUAAUUAGGGUGGCCAAAAAUUGUGGGUUUAUCACUGUUCUCGUGUAUUAUUUGCUUCGUAAUACUUUCUCUCUGAAGUAUUUCGUUUAGUUUUCUACCAGAGCAUGUCCAGUUUGCAAUUCAUAAAUGCCUAUAUUGGAAUUGCCAUUAAAGACCCAUUCUGCAGGCUUAUAUUGGAUUCAGAUGUCUGACAUGCAUCUAACUGGCAUAUUAAUAUGACAUUUUUGCAAUUUUUUGUCGGCCACGUAUAACAUAGUUGACUCUUUGUUAGUUGUAAAUUUAUAGACAAGUUAUCAGGUCUGAAUUUUAUCAUGUGUUAUAAAUACGUUUAUAUUAUUUUCCAAAUGAUUUUUAAGUCGGAGUUCAAGUGCUCAUGACUGUACAUCAUUGAGAGCUUGUUUUAUUUAUUUGAAACUGAUACCCAAAUUUACGUACUUUCUCAUAAAUCCUGCAUUGACCUAGACUAUUUUCUGUUAUGUACUGAAACUUAACUGAUAAUCUUUUAUUUAGUAGGUUGACAAGGCAUGUUUUGAGAAAUUGAGGAGAUGGUGGAAGGGUGUUAAUAUUUUUCAAAAAUCUUACAUCUUCAUACCUGUCCAUGGAGAGUAAGUAAUUAUUUCCUGUUCUUAUCCAAUAUGUUGGAUUGACAAACUUAGUAUGUCUAUGUCAUACCUUUUCUUAUGCAUUUGAUUAUGGUACCAUCAAUAUUAUGAUUCUUAAUGAUAUUGGUUGCUUAAAAAUAUUAUGAUGCCAGUAAAAAAGUUAAUGAGAAUCUCAUUGGAUGUUGGAUCAUUGAGUCACGUGUUUGUCAUAUCAUUUGUCUAAUGUAACAUUUAUAACAUGUGACUAAUUGAGGUGCCAAAGACACCAAUUUAUUUAAGUGGCUAGUCUUUUAAUGUUUGUAUGACUUAUUUUGAAUGUAGAUGUAGUGGAACAAUUUUGUGCCAAAAUUCAGUGACUUUUUUCACAUAGUAUUAGAUUUCAGUGAAGAUGUAGUGGAACAAUUUUGUGCCAAAAUUCAGUGACUUUUUUCACAUAGUAUUAGAUUUCAGUGACUUUUUCAAAGAUAAACAAAAGAUGUACAAAUUUAUUUUACAAAAUGAUGUCAUUGGUUUCUAACUUUUUGAUCUAAUAUGUGCUUCUUGUUUUCAGUAUGCAUUGGAGCUUGGCAGUUAUUUGUAUACCUGCACAAGAAGAUGAAUCAGGUCCAAUUGUACUUCAUUUGGAUUCAUUGGGAUUUCAUAACAGUCAAUCGAUAUUUCAUAUCAUAGAUAGGUAAGCUGACUGUGAAAUCUUUUAUGCUAAUAAAGAAGUGGUCAAUUUGUUAUUUGAGUAUAUAUAAUAUAUGUCUGUGUUUCUGCAAUUUUGGUUCUUUUCUGAUUUAUUUUAAAUGCCAAGAUUGCAACAUGUAAUCAUUAAUUGCUUGAAGUUGCAACAUGCUUGACUUGUUCUUUGCCAUGUGGAAACAUUGAUGUAUAGGAAAACCAAUUUCCUUGUUGUGUCUAUGUGCACCUUGCACCAUCGUGUAUCUUCUCAUUUUGGAUUCUCAUCUUCUGAUUGAGACAAAAGCAAACUUAUCUCUGAUAUAAUAAUUAUCUUUUCAGAUAUUCUCUAAAAACCUAAUAUGCAGUUUCUAAUUGCAGAUUUUUGAAAGAGGAAUGGAACUACAUAAAUCAAAAUUCUUCUCGUCCAGAUCUUCCUUUUUCAGUAAAUAUUUGGAGACAUCUUUCAAGUAGCAUUGAGAAGAAAAAGAUCACGGUAAACCUCUUUACAUUGGACAUCUUUAUCUCAUAAUCAGCUUUUCAUUAUGGUUGUUUCUAUAUGGUUGGUACUGUAUUGCUCUUUCAUAACAUGGAAAUCUUUUAUUUUGUUUCCCAAAGUUUAUCAAUCUCAUCUUUGAUAGAAAAAUGGGUAUGUAAUCUCUCUUAUAGAAAAAUUUUAUAUAUUUAGAGUGGUUUGUUUCUGCGGAGCAAUCUUUCCAUUGUAGCAAGGCCCAGUCUCAAUCUCAUCUUCGAUAGAAUGUCUCAAUAGCAAAUGUGUUGAAAUAAAAAAUGACCUUGUUUCCUUUAAAUGAUAACUUGUUUGCAUCGAUUAGCAUGUGGAACUAGCUGAAACUCAUUAUACAUGCUACGUGUUAUCAGGUUCCCCAACAGAAGAAUGAGUAUGACUGUGGGCUUUUUGUGCUCUACUUCAUGGAGAGGUUUAUUGAAGAGGCUCCUGAAAGGCUUAAACGGAAAGAUCUGGCAAUGGUAGGCAACACAUCUCUAAGUGGGCUGGAGAUUGUAUGCUGUUUUAAUUUCUGUUUUCCCUAUCUUUGACCUAAGCAGUUUGGUAGCAAGUGGUUCCAUCCUGAGGAUGCUUCUGGCUUGAGGAAGCAGAUACGAGAUCUGCUUCUUGAAGUAUUUCGGUGUGCUAAGCGGGAGAAUAAUAAAGCAGGAUCAACAUCAUCUUGUGGCUCCUCCGAAGAUGAUUGACAGCGAUCCUACUUGGAUGACUAACCAUUUGACCUGAGAACCCGAGUCAGAAUCAGCUUAGUAGAGGAACAAUUGGAGAAUAGAGAGGAAUAGAAGAGGCUUAUGGAAACACCCAGUCAAUUUUUCAGGGAUAUCUGAAUACUUAUCAGAAGGUAAUUCUCACCGUGCAUUUUAAGUACUGUCGACUAUCCUCACUAAGUUCCUCACGAUGAUAAAUUUAGUUGAGCAAAGCAGGAAACCAGGCAUUGGAAUAACAGCAAGCAUGGCACUUGUUUUGCUCCCAGAGAAUCUUUAGCUGGUUAAUCCAAAGGGGUUAGGACUGUGAUCAGUAGAGUUCUAACAAAAGAAGUAAAGCUUUCUAGAUCAUGGAGGGGUACAAUUUAUAUGUAUUUCUCUUGUGAAUUUUGCAGAUCCAUUUCUGUGUUCCUGACAAUCUGCUUUGACAUAAGAUGAUAGAGGGAAGCUAUAUGCAAGCAGAUUACAAGCAGAUGUUUGUAAAUAGAAUCUCGAGAGAAAUGGCAAGGUUUUAUAUGCUCUUUGCAAUGGCAUUACCACUUCCCUCGUCUAUGUUUUUUAGAAAAGGUUAUUAUGCCCGUCAGUUAUCCUAGUGCUGGUGGCGCAUGCUAUAUACUACCGAUGCUUAUUAUCGUUCAUCAGAUUGCUAGAAGGUCAUUUAAUUGCUCCGGAAACGUAAGUUCUCAUGCUAAACUACCCUCAAGCUAACAUUGCAGCAUGGAAAGUCCACAUCAGUAAUAACCAGAGAUGACAUUCGAAUCGAACACCAUGAUACGACAAUUAGACUAUCACAUCUUCAUUUACCAUACCCAACUGCCAUUUAUUUACCUCUACAAUAUGUAUCAAGAUGCAACCUUUGCUUAUUCAUGUUCACAGGAGAUGAUAAGGCAACAACAGAACAGAACAUAAAUGUGUAGGUCAUACCAGAGUACAAGAGUGAAGCCAAGGAAUACACAUGAAGAUGAAUGUUUUUACAUCAUCACAUAAAUAGAGACAAGCAUGUAGAACAUACUCCGGAUGCAUUGCCAUAAUAUUUCAGCUCCGCAUCGAUGCCUGUGAUUGUGCACAUGCUCUCCAUCUCUUCGACGUUUAUAUAUCCUUGGAACAAUCAUCUUGCCAUGUUAGUUUGAGGGAAUUUAGCUUAUCAAGGGCCUCGGUGCUUGCGGAAACACCCGAAACAUCCUUGUUGCUGAUCAGGAGGAAUCAUACCUCCACCCUUUGAUGUAUCGAUAGCCUCCAACAUGGUCACUGCCUCAUCCAUCUCAGGUCGUUUGUCAGGGUUUGCAUCCCAGCAGACUUUCAUCACAUUUGCCAGAGAGCUUGGGCAGCAUCGUGGGAUCUCUGGUCUCAAGUUCUGCAAUUAUGUGCAAAGUUAAAUUUUUAGUCCUGCAACCACUUCAGCUAUAAUUUUCAAAGAAGUGCAUACCUGCCGCACAACGGCAGAUGUUAUCUCGGAAAAGCUAAGGUCAGGAUACGGCAUGUCACAACAGUAUAUCUCCCACAGGCAGAUCCCAAAGCUAUAAACAUCACAUUUUCUAUUAUAAGGGUUGCCGUUGAGGACCUGCAAAUGUGUCAGUACUAAGGUUACUUCAUCAUGGUUAGACGAGAAUGUAGUAAUAUAAGGAAAAAUGUAAAGUUCCACUUAAACAAUGAACUAAUUAUAUGCUAUCUUCAUAUUCAACUGCAUGCAUUUAUCCUAUUUCCACUCGCCUCGGUUUUCCCUCUCAUUUCUAUUCUUCUUCUUGUCUACCUCAAUCAAAGCUCCAUUUCAAUUUUUCUCCAUCAUGUGCUUUCGUUGCCGGAGCAGCCAAUCAAUAAUGUAUCCUUCUGUAAGUCUAUCUUUAUCAAUGAAUCAAAGAGUUCCCUUACAAACUUCUGGAGAAGCUCUCACAGUAAGUAUUGAACUGUGUAAUUUGUAUUUAACUUAUUUAUUACACAUUUCUGCUAGACCAGCUUUUCUAGCAAGCAAACAUAACUCUUUUUUUCAAUCAUCUUGUUCAGCAAUCUGCAUAACCAGUGACGAACUUCCUAUUACAUUAAAAUAUGUGCCCAAAACAUCUCUUGUUUUUGGUUUAUCUAAAUUCUAACAAAUAAGGAGACAUCUUAGGAGAUUUUCUGGUGCCAUGAAACUGGAAUCAUAAAAUGUUGCAUGUUCACCAUAGGCAAUCUUUACUUCAAGACAGUAUUUCAAUGGAGAAGCUAAUGUGCCACAAUGUCGAUGAAUUAAUCCAGAAGAUUAUGUCAUGUCCACAAACAUUUCAGGCUUCUGAAAAAUGACCUAAGAUUAAGAGGAAACACUUGAACAUCAAAAUAAAAAGGGAUUUCAUACCUCGGGUGCCAUGUAACCAAGGGUUCCUGUCUCACCCGUCAUGUCAUUAGGAUUUUGAGCCUCAAUACGAGCAACACCAAAGUCAGCAAUUUUUACUGUUCCUGUCCUAUCUAGAAGCAUAUUUUCUGUCUUCACAUCUCUGUGCACAAUCUUUUGGGAAUGAAGAUAACUUAACCUACAGAUAAAGAUACAAAUUGGCCAAAUAUAUUUAAUUUGCAAAAAGCUUGUUGAACGGGAAUUACAUGCAGGAAAUAAUUAACAAGUCCACAUGGAAAUAAAAUGCAGUCAACUAAGAGUUUCCAAAUAGAAGAAUUCGAGGCGAAUGCUCACCCUCUCCCAAGAUCCAAAGCCAUUUGGACGACUACCUUGAAAGCUAGCUUUCUCCUGUGGUGUUUUAUAAGAAAUGAUUUCAGUGCACCACCAGGAAGAUAUUCGACAACAACACAGCAAACAUUGCUCGGCAUGCCGAGAUGACCAUUUUCUGUUUGUAUGUUCAGGUCUGCUGCCCCAAUGGCAGCCCCAAUAAACUGCAAAAGAAGUUUAAAAUGAAUGUACAACAUGUUAAGCAAACACGCAGAAAUAUGUAGAGAGCUAUAUUCAAGAAGAUGAAAGCAGAGGAGAUAUUUCAAAUAGGAUAAUAAAUACACGUCCACAGAAAAGAACUACAAGCACUCAGUGAAUUGAGGACUAAAUUCCCAGAGAUGUUACAGACUAGUGGUAUCCUCACAUAAUGACCUGUACCUUAGUUACAUUAGGAUGAUCAAGCUUAUGCCAAACCGAGACUUCCUGAGAGAACGCUGCUCGAAGUGCAGAGAUUUCAGCUUCUGUUCUGUUUCCCUCUUCGCCCCAGUCAAGCAACUUCACUGGAAAUAGUAAAAGAAUACAACUUUUAUAACCAACUAAAGAAAGGGCAAGUGAGAUGUAACUCCAGAGGAUGAUCUCAUGCUCUUUUAAAUGUUUGAGUGCCUGCUAAUGCAAGAAACCGGUAAACUACAACGCAGACUUGUUGGUGAACUGCUAGAGCAAAGAAUGGAAAAGAAAGUUUCAGAUAAGAAAAAAAAAAGAGAAAAAGAAUAUUCUGAACCACACACAGGAAAAAAAAAAAAGUGUGUCCCCCUUUAAUUCAAUGUCCCAAGUUGCAACCCAUUGCAACUAUUUCUUGAGGUCAUUAGCCGGAGUUAUCGCUUUCUGUUCUUCCCUUUAAUAGAUAUCACAAGACCAGCACCCAAGUUUACCAAUAGUUGUUGAGUUAGGUUCACAUGAAAGUACAAGAGAGAAAACAACUGAUCGAACAAAAGUCACGGGAAACACCCCACCCAAUCUGUGCAAGUCACAGGCAUGCAGUCCACUGGCUACAUCGAUGAACAAGAACCUUUAUAAACCGAACUGGAGCGCACCAAACCCCCAAAAGCAAAAGUAACACACAUCAAACGUAAACAGAAAUUUCAUGGUUUUACUAAUGGUGGAAUGCAUCAAACCAGUAUGGAAAUUUCAGUAGUCUUCAAACUGAUGAACAGACGAUAACACACAUAGUUUUCCCCCCUUUCAGUUCUAUUAUCAUGCAAUGAUGCUUCUUCCAUGGAAGAACAGAUCCGCAGAAGACAGACAAGUGCGGAUUGGACACCAAUCCAAAUGAAUUGUACAAGAAAGACAACCAGAGAAAAAGGAACAAGUUCUUCCAAAGCAUAUAAAGUUAUUAGAUUCACUAAAGCAGAUAUCAAGAAAUCAAACGGAAUUAUGCGACGAGGAAAUCCAACCAGUAACAACCGCAUCGAGCACCAAUAAUCACAAAAAGGACCAACUUUUGGCAGUAAAACACAGGCAUUAUUCAAAAAGGGGAGCAACUAUGCAUCAGAAUCUCUUUUCCUUCUUGAUUUUAGGUUUCCUCUCAGCCUCACCGGCGACGUCCUGGCCGUCGUAGACUCCACGGUGGACCGUGCCGAAGGUGCCCCUGGCGAUGACCCCCUUGAUAACCAGCUUCGAGGGGUCGAUCUCCCACUCCUCCCUCUGCCUCUCCUCCUCCUUCCUCUUCUCAAUCGUCCUCGGUCGGCUGAGGUGCCGCUCCAGCUGCUCGUCCAACCUCUUCAGAUCGAUCUGGUCCGCCCUCACGAACCCAUCUCCGCCCCCUUCCUUCAUCUCUCUACCCUCCCCUCCCACCUCUCCCACCCCCCCUCCCCCCCACCCCCCCCGCCUCCUUUGCAGCCUCCAAAUCACGGCAGAAAACCCAAAAGAUGAUAUCUUUAUGGGCUUCGCUUCCCUUCUACCUUUCCUUCUCCCUCCACCGCAUCUUCUCUUCCCCCCCACCCCAACACCCGCACCAGUAUCUGCUACUUCCUCUUCUUUCUAUAAAGCACACUCGUUUCUCUCCUCCCCUCGUCACUGCUAUUCUACUCGCCCUGCGUUUGUCUCUCGCUCUGUGUCUCCAUGUGAGCACAUGGGUUGCCUGCCUCCCUCUCUCUAAUCAAAGCUCGAUUCAAUUAUUUCUCGUCUUUCUAUCUAUUACGACUACCUACAGACGCAUCGAAACCCCUCUUCCUCUGCACUCUCCUUAUCCCCGCUCGGUUGCAGACUCACAGGUGCCCUCGAUGCAUUGUUUCUCGGGGAAACACGCCUCUUGUCUUAUCUUAAGCAUGUGGUGGUCAUCUGAAAGAGAUCGCAGAUGUAACGGGCGGACAUGUCAUUAGAUUUGGACAAGAGCUAAUCAAGCCAUCACCCAAGAAAAAUCCACAUCUUUGUAAACACGACAUUACAUACACCAAAUGAUGUGUGUGUUCUCAGGUCGACUGUUCUUGAAGGUCUCAAAGCAUCGACUUGUCCUGCUACUACUUGGAUGCUACUUUGACGGAAGAUUACAUGUGCAGUGAGGUCAUGCCAUCUCCAGACCAAACUAUAGCCACACAUUUGUGGGAUCUCCACCAUGCACGUGUGGGAACUCGCUUAGUCGUUAAUGGCGUGAGGCCUUUUAGGACUGAGAGAAAGAUUAACAUGAGAUGUCGAAGAAGCAGAACCAGAAUCCAAUUUCUUGCUUGAAGUGCAUGUUUGAAGAGUAUAUUCUGAGGCCAAUCUUGAGAUCACAUUCCUCAGCAGAGCAUCUCUUUCUCAUCUUUGGUCCAUUCCAAGAACAAGAACAAAGAAGGCAGG
rnacentral:lncRNA from 1 species